UGGGGGAUAUUGCACAAUGGGCGAAAGCCUGAUGCAGCGACGCCGCGUGGGGGAUGAAGGCUUUCGGGUUGUAAACCUCUUUCGCUAUCGAACAAGGCCCGCUUAGGGUGGGUUGAGGGUAGGUGGAGAAGAAGCGCCGGCUAACUACGUGCCAGCAGCCGCGGUAAUACGUAGGGCGCGAGCGUUGUCCGGAAUUAUUGGGCGUAAAGGGCUUGUAGGCGGCUUGUUGCGCCUGCUGUGAAAACGCGGGGCUUAACUUCGCGCGUGCAGUGGGUACGGGCAGGCUUGAGUGUGGUAGGGGUGACUGGAACUCCAGGUGUAGCGGUGGAAUGCGCAGAUAGCUGGAGGAACACCGAUGGCGAAGGCAGGUCACUGGGCCAUUACUGACGCUGAGGAGCGAAAGCAUGGGUAGCGAACAGG
rnacentral:rRNA from 1 species